AUGGCCUGGACUCCUCUCCUCCUCGUGUUCCUCUCUCAGUGCACAGGUUCCCUCUCGCAGCCUGUGCUGACCCAGCCGCCCUCCCUCUCUGCGUCUCCGGGAGCAACGGCCAGACUCACCUGCACCCUCAGCAGUGACAUCAGUGUUGGCAGCUACUACAUAUCCUGGUACCAGCAGACGCCAGGGAGCCCUCCCCGAUAUCUGCUGAACUACAAGUCAGACUCAGACAAGGGUCAGGGCUCCGGGGUGCCCAGCCGCUUCUCUGGGUCCAAAGACGCCUCGGCCAAUGCCGGGCUCCUGCUCAUCUCUGGGCUGCAGCCUGAGGACGAGGCCGACUAUUUCUGUGCUGCAGGUAGUGGCAGUUGGAGCAGUAACAGUUUCUCACAGUGUCUCAGACGAUGA